rnacentral:rRNA from 1 species
UAUUUUUAUCUUAAUUUUUAAUUUUGUAGUGAAUAAAUAUUAUUUAAAAUAAUAAUAACUUUAGAAAUUUUUAUUAAAAAAUAAAAAAAAAUAAAUAUUUAUAGAGAAAUAGUAUAGUAAUAGAAUGAUGAAAUAAUUUAAAUAUUUAAAUUAUAAAAAGUAAAUUUUAUUUAUUGUAUCUUGUGUAUCAGAGAUUAUUAAUAAUAAAAUUUAUAUUAAAUUUUUUUCGAAAUUUAAAGAGUUAAUUAAUUAUUUUAGUUAUUGUUUUAUAAAUAUUAAUAAUAAUUAAUUAGUAAUAAAAUGUUAAUCGAUUUAAAUAAUAUCUAAUUUUUAAAGAAAUAAAUUGAAUUUAGCUGUAUCUAGGGAAAUUUAGAGUUAUAAUUAUUAAAUUUUAUUUUAAACAGCAAUAAUAAAUGGGAUAAGCUUUUUAUUAAAAUAUUAAAUAGUUAGAGAGUUACUUUAAGAUAUAUAAAAAUAAAAUUAUUUAUUGAUUAUAUUUUAUUAUAAAAAAUCUUAGUUUCAUUCAUAUUUUAAUAUGUUAAGUCAUUAAUAAGAUUUAUUUAAACAUAUAUAAUAUUAAUUUUAAUAUAUAGAUAAUGAUAGUAUUAGUAUAAAUUUUAAAUAAUAGAAAUUUUUUAAAGUGAGAUAUUAUUUUUAAGAAUUCGGCAAAAUUUUUGUAUUCGCUUGUUUAACAAAAACAUGUCUUUUUGAUAAAUAAUUUAAAGUCUAAUCUGCCCCCUGAAAUUAUUUUAAAGGGCUGCGGUAUUUUAACCGUACAAAGGUAGCAUAAUAAUUAGGUUUUUAAUUGAAAUCUAGAAUGAAUGAUUGGACGAGAUACAAGCUGUUUUAUAGUAAUUAGUUAAAACUUAAUUUUUUAGUUAAAAAGCUAAAAUUUAAUUAAAAGACGAGAAGACCCUAUAAAUCUUUAUAAUAACUUUAUUUUGAUAAAUUAUUUCAUAAAAAUUGUUUAUCUUUAUUUUUAAUUAUUUUAUUGGGGUGAUAUAAAAAUUUUUAUAACUUUUUAAAGUAAAAAACUUAAAUUAAAGAUUUCAAAACUUUUGAGCUAUUAUUAAUAAUUCAAAGAAUAAGAUACUUUAGGGAUAACAGCGUAAUUUUAAUUUUAAGUUCUCAUUAAAAUUAAAGAUUGCGACCUCGAUGUUGGAUUAAAAUUUAAUUUAAAUGCAAAGGUUUAAAAAUUAAGUCUGUUCGACUUUUGAAAUUUUACAUGAUCUGAGUUCAAACCGGUGUGAGCCAGGUUGGUUUCUAUCUUUAAUAAAAAAAAAUUUUUUAGUACGAAAGGAUCGAGAAUUUUAAAUGAUUUUAUAAGCAUUAUGAUAAAAAUUAAUAAUAGUUUAAAUUA